AUAAUACUCCCUCCGUCCCAAAAUUCUUGUCUUAGAUUUGUUUAAAAAUGGAUGUAUCAAAAUACUAAAACGUGACNAGAUACAUUCAUAUCUAGACAAAUCCAAGACAAGAAUUUUGGGACGGAGGGAGUAGUUA
rnacentral:pre_miRNA from 1 species